UGGCCUUGUUCCAGGCAGCAAAACUGCUGUGGGAAGUCAGGAAAGGCCGGGUGAAGCGCUGGGCUCUCUGAAGGUGAAUGUGCUGGCAAGAGAGAUUUGGGGUCUCCUAAGGUGCUUCUCCUGGCCUCCCUGCAUCCCAGGGAGGGCACAUUCUGACUCAGAGAGCUGAGGAGGCUGGACUGCUGAGAUGCAAAUCACAGCCUGGAGGCUCUGGCUGGAGAGGCUCAGCUAAAGCUAGCACUUUUGGAAUCAAGUUCGCCCUGGAAGUGGGCUGUGCCUCAUCUUCGCACUCAGACUCUGAUACAGCUCGGAUAUCUGUCCUCUCCAACUCUCAUGUUGAAAUGUUGGGGGUGCGGCCAGUGGGAGGCAUCUGGGUCCUGGGAGCAGAUCUCUCGUGAAGGGCUUGGUGCUGUCCUUGCAGUAAUGGGGGUAAUGAGUGGGUCCUCAUUCUAUCAGUUCAUGUGAGACCUAGUUAUUUAAAAGAGCCUGGAACACACCCCCCACCCCCCACCCAUACUCUCUUUCUCACCAUGUGACACGCCUGCUCCCCUCCCCUGCCUUCAGCCAAGAAUAAAAGCCUCCUGAGGCCUCACCAGAAGCCAAGCAGAUGCUAGUGCUGUGCUCGUACAGCCUGCAGAACCAUGAGCCAAAUCAACCUCUUCAUAAAUGACGCAGGCUCAGUUAUUCCUUUGCAGUAACACAAAACAGACGAACACAGAUUCCCAAUGUGGUGCACUUCUGGGAGGAUCAGCCCUCAGGCCCAGCCCCAGGAUGAGAGCCGGCUCCUGGGUUUCACCGCCCUCACACGCCCACGACUGUGGAAUGAACGAGACUCACUGGGACCCGUCUUCAAGGUCAGCUCAGCAGUACGGGUCAUGUGAAGUCCCUGUUAAGUCCUUGUGAAAGACGGCCAGGAGAUUUAAAGGUGGAGCAGAUGAGACAGAGCAGGAUACCCCAGGACUGGGUCCAGCUUCUGGGGCCCGGUGGGAAGAGGUCUUUGGAUUCUAGUUCCGCUGAUUUUAACACUUGGGCCGUAACUAGCUUAGAAGAGUUCCAGUCAGCAAGGGGCAAGGGG
rnacentral:lncRNA from 1 species